AAUGAACGCUGGCGGCAUGCCUAACACAUGCAAGUCGAACGAGACCUUCGGGUCUAGUGGCGCACGGGUGCGUAACGCGUGGGAAUCUGCCCUCUGGUACGGAAUAACUCAGGGAAACUUGAGCUAAUACCGUAUAAUGACUUCGGUCCAAAGAUUUAUCGCCUGAGGAUGAGCCCGCGUAGGAUUAGCUAGUUGGUGAGGUAAAAGCUCACCAAGGCGACGACCUUAGCUGGUCUGAGAGGAUGAUCAGCCACACUGGGACUGAGACACGGCCCAGACUCCUACGGGAGGCAGCAGUGGGGAAUAUUGGACAAUGGGCGAAAGACCUGAUCCAGCAAUGCCGCGUGAGUGAUGAAGGACC
rnacentral:rRNA from 1 species